rnacentral:rRNA from 1 species
GAUGAACGCUGGCGGCGUGCUUAACACAUGCAAGUCGAACGAUGAAGGAGGAGCUUGCUCCUCUGGAUUAGUGGCGAACGGGUGAGUAACACGUGAGCAAUCUGCCCCUGACUCUGGGAUAAGCGUUGGAAACGACGUCUAAUACCGGAUACGAGGCGUGGGGGCAUCCCCAACGCCUGGAAAGAACUUCGGUCCAGGAUGAGCUCGCGGCCUAUCAGCUUGUUGGUGAGGUAACGGCUCACCAAGGCGACGACGGGUAGCCGGCCUGAGAGGGUGACCGGCCACACUGGGACUGAGACACGGCCCAGACUCCUACGGGAGGCAGCAGUGGGGAAUAUUGCACAAUGGGCGCAAGCCUGAUGCAGCAACGCCGCGUGAGGGACGACGGCCUUCGGGUUGUAAACCUCUUUUAGCAGGGAAGAAGCGAAAGUGACGGUACCUGCAGAAAAAGCACCGGCUAACUACGUGCCAGCAGCCGCCGUAA